GUCCAUUUAAGGUUGUGAUCCACAUUUUAUAGAUGAGAAUUUUAAGAUUUGAGAAGUUAAUAAAUUUACCCGUAGUCAAAUAACUUGUAAGUGGCCAGGAUUUGAAUCUAGGUCUGUGUGACAUCAGAAUCCACAUUCUUAGGAGCUGAAUUGUAGUGUCAGGAUUCUUUUAGAGUCCCAGAAGAACUGAGACUUCCAAAGGGGUAUUCAUGUGUAGGUUGGACAUGUUUUACCACUGCCCUUGUUUCAGAUACCACCCCUCCCCCCCCAACUAGUUCAGUUAAAGUCUGUCUGACUUAGCUUUCCAAAUCACCAGCUCCUCUCCAGGUAAAGAAACCCUGGCUCUAAUCUGGAGACAGCCCUCAGAAAUUCAGGGAUUCAUCCACAUGGAGAGGGCUGGUUGCAGCCCAAGAAGAAUCUCAGGGCACACACAGCUUGGUAGCCUGUCUGCCUGAUGAGAAGAUUUCACUUGUGCUUCAUGCUUGAGGAUUGGAGAUCUGCAUUCCAGUAUAAUCCACUUUCCCCGUUUUCCCUUGUCUGGAUCACCACUUGGAUGAAUGGGUGGGGAGGGGGGGGGGCUCUACAUGAGAGUUUUCUAAGUACCACAAAGCCAUAUAUACAAAGUAAAAACAUAAAAAAUAAUAUAAGAAACUUAUUUUAUCCUUUUAUACUGCCUUCAGUCAUCUUUUCUGUAAGGUUAUAUAAUGUACCACCCUUUUGGCCAAGACUUGGUCUGUGGAAGUUCCUGUUACUAUAUUAAAAUGUUGAUAUUCUACAUGGAAAAUGCCAUUUAUUAUUGAAGAUCAUGCUAUUGAUUCUUUACAGAACAAAAUAUGGGAUAGAUAACUUAUCAUGGGCAUCACCUAUUGUAAAAACAUCUGGACUAGAACAGACUUUUCCAGGAAAAGUGUUAACAUUUACCAUAUUCUAUCAGAAUUCUUCAAGGAUAAGGAAGCUCAAAAAGAGAAGAAUUAAACAAAGAAUUAACGUGCACCAAAAUUUACUAAAAAAAUAAGUUUUAUCCCUGGAGUUAUAAAAUGCUUGCCUUGACAGUUUUUAAAUGUUAGGAAUCAUUGGACAGGCUGGGAACUCGGUCUCAUUCACCCUGUAAUGACUUUGAAAGUCCUGGAAGUAGCAGUGUGUCCUUUGGAGAAUUUGGAGAUUCAGUUUCAUGAGCUGGAGGAUGCAGCACCAGAAAGGGGUAGAGGUAACUGCUCAGAUGUUCUUCCGACCCAAUGCUAUGCAUGGCUCUGCUUCAAAGUGCUUGCUAACCGUCAGCCAACUGUGCUUUGCGAAGAUGAAUGACUUUGUUAUACUUAAGUAAAAAUAACUGGGAAGAAACAUUGUUAAAAACAAAUAAGAAAUCAUCCAACAGAAAUCCAGCCUUAGAAUACAUGCCAGAGCCAUAAAGAAAUGCUUAGGGGAUUAUCCCCCACAGUGCUGUUUCUCUCCAAUAAAGCAGGUAAUUGAGAGCUAACCA
rnacentral:lncRNA from 1 species